UACGUAGGGUGCAAGCGUUGUCCGGAAUUAUUGGGCGUAAAAAGCUCGUAGGCGGUCUGUCACGUCGGCUGUGAAACCACGAGGCUCAACCUCGGGCCUGCAGUCGAUACGGGCAAACUAGAGUACUGCAGGGGAGACUGGAAUUCCUGGUGUAGCGAUGAAAUGCGCAGAUAUCAGGAGGAACACCGGUGGCGAAGGCGGGUCUCUGGGCAGUAACUGACGCUGGAGGAGCGAAAGCGUGGGGAGCGAACAGG
rnacentral:rRNA from 1 species